AGGAUGUUGUCAUCAUUAAUACAAUUUAUUAAUAGGAUAGCUAUACAAAUAGUAGCAACAUCUAGAGCAUCUUAGCUUAAGUAUAUGUGUCUGUGAUUAUAUGAUUGAAAACAACUCUUUUUAGCUCUACUUUGACACUCAGUUGCAUAAUA
rfam:Tetrahymena thermophila SB210 genomic scaffold scf_8254047, whole genome shotgun sequence.